UGAUAUAUAAUGUACUAUUAUCUACUUUGCGUUACUAAUCGACUCAUUAUUAUAUCAAAAACAGUUUAAUUAUGAAGGCUAUUAUUAACGUGUUUUUGGUGAUUUUUAUUUGUCGUAUAUUGGUAACAUCCGUCGCGGCACAGAAUAUGUCAAUGUCAAACGUCAAUGAUUGAGGUUAAAUUGUAUGUUUUGAUAAUGAAUUAUUGAACUUUUGUGUAAGUUUAAUAGUAAAGAAGACUUUCCUAGUUAUAUAAAUCAGUGUAGUGUGUUUAUUACUUAGAAAUAAAGAAUGCAGGUACUUGUGGGAAAGUGGAUUCUUCGGUUACAUGGCACCAAUUCCCAAGUAAAAAAGUAACAAGAAUGGUGGCUGCAAGCAUGUGAACUAUCGGAAUUCGAGGAUGUAAAAAGAAGGCUGUGUUCUCGUCAUUUUAACUGUUAUGAGUGCAUCGAUUUGGAUGCACGCAAGCACGAUGGGGGUCACUUAACACCUAAAAGAUUUCCAACUCUACAAUGUUACUUUCAUUUUAAAAUCAGUAAAUGUUUUUAAUUUAAUUGUGUUUCUUUAAACAUUAGUAAUGUAUCACUUUGUAUUAUAG